AAGAUUUAAACCAUAUCGUACGAUCGAAAAAUAAAAAGUUACGUACAUAAUUCUAGAUGGUCAAAAAAUGCCAUACAUAAAUAAAAUACUAAUAAAUGUCAAAAUUCCAUACAACUGAGACCAAUAAAGUAGCAAGUUCGUUAAAAUAAAAUAUACCAUAAUACUACUACUAUAUACUAAGACAUUAUUGUGUAUGUCUCACUACCUCUCCUCUACCUCCCCUGCCUCCUCAACUAUCGAUCUCAUUCGUCCUCUGACG
rnacentral:lncRNA from 1 species